rnacentral:sRNA from 1 species
UGCUGGAACUCACGUGACCACCGUGUCC